UUUUAGCCCCGAUUGUAGUGAAAAUCCUUUUCUUUUUUUCUUUAAAAAAGAAAAGAUUGAAGCGUAAAGCGGGCGAAUGA
rnacentral:sRNA from 26 species